ACCCCGAUUAUUGAUUUAUUAAUAUAGGUCACGUAGCUCAAAUGGAUAGAGCAACUGCCUUCUAAGCAGUAGGUCACAGGUUCGAAUCCUGUCGUGAUCA
rnacentral:tRNA from 1 species